CCUCAUUGCGUUACCCGCAGCUGGGUGGAUUUGCCUUCAUAUACGCCACUUCCGGCGGAUACGGCGCGCUGUUCAAUUGUUUGGCGUGCAUGUUGUUGCUCGUCGCUGGAAGGACAAAGUGUUGUAUGUUCUGGGUAUUGCUGUCAAAACUGUAUUCAGUUACUACACUCUACUUGUAAAUGCUGUCGGGCUGGUAUUGGAUGCUGCAUUUAAUUUUAUGUAUGUGGUGUGCAUGCUGCUGUUACCCAUACUGGUCGAGAGUGGUGCACACUGAGAUUUGUGCAGCACACUGCAUAUAUUGUUGACAGUUAAUACUGACGGUGAACGCUGAAAAGACCCAUAGGCUGCAGUGUAUUGUGCUAAACGCGAGGCUGCAGCAACUCUCCGUUGGGUCUGGUAUGCAGUACAAGAAACUGUAAAAUAAGUGCUAUGUGCUCGUGGUCCUGUUGAUCACUGUUUUCCCUACAUUUAUUUUUUUGUAUAGUUUGUUUAUUGGCUUUGAAGCUGAUUAUUUGUUAUUUUUGUUUGUUUGAUUUAUUUAUCGGCCCAUAGUUACCCUGUCUCCUUGCUUAUUUAGAGCACUCUUAACAAAAGUAGGACAAUACUACAUCAGGUUGUGUACUAUUUAUGACAAUCGGAGGGGGGGGUUACUCACUAUUAAUUGUACAAGUGUUGUGUGGGCUUUGUUUUGUACUUUUGUUUAUCGGAUUUGUUUCGUUUUUUUUUCUUUUUUUUCUGAAUUGUAUCGUAAAGUGGCUAAACCCUCGUUAGAAGUAACCUUUGUGCACGUAUGCUGGUUUAAGUCCUUAGUAUGAUUAAGUCAAGAGAGCGAGAACCAUUUUAAUAAAUGUAUUGAUUUAAUGCAAUAUUGGUCUGAGUAAUUUCAUUUAUUUGAAUAACUGCGGGAAGCCCUUUGUGGGAUCUCCUACCCAUGUAAAUUGGAGUGGCGUAGUCACUGACAAUUAGUUACCUAUCUGACUCUGUCCACUUCAAUUUCAGACUCAUUGUGGUACAGUUUGAAAAGCUGUAACUGCACAUUAGCUCUAACAACCUUGUCUUUCAGCCUCUGGUAACGCUCAGCCUGGGGAUGAGGAGAGACGGACAGAUUUUGUUUUAGGUGAUACAUACAUAUAACGUAUGUUCAAAUAAGCUUUAGAUAAUCUGAUCACCUCUUUCUCUUGCUUGGCCUCUUUGCGUUCAGCCACGAUGUU